rnacentral:lncRNA from 11 species
GCCUGAUUAGCACUAAAACGAGCUCUUCAUAAGUGACACCUGAGAACAUAGAAUAAAAGGUGUUUAAGUUUGUACUCAUGUUAUAGGAGGCAAUGUUUUGCUUCAUGGUGAAACUAUGGAUUCUUUGGAUUUUUGGCCUUGCUGAUUCUGAACGGUACCUUGACUUCUGCAUUGGAAGUUUGCCAGCAUCCUCCUCAAUCCUGUUUCUGCCAGAAGGAAGAAAGCCACAGAGCUGCAAGAGCCUAGCUCUCCAUGUCACUUGCAUUCCCUGGAGAUAAUACCAUGUUGAAGAUCUGUUUGCAUGAUUAAUUCUGCAGGAAUCAAUCCUGAGUUUUGCGAAACAGUGUGCAGAGAAGACCUGCAGAGCAUCUUAGCUUCUCAGCUUCCCUGUGAUUAAGCAGCAUGACUGACAGGCUCAGCUGAAAGUUUGGCCAGCGUUUCAAAUGGUGAUUAUUGGAUAAGCCCUAUUAAAUUGCUGCUCAGAGAAGGUUAACAUCCUGUCAACUAAAGGCAUAUCAUUGUCCUUAAUAAUAUCAUCCUGGAG